GUCGAUCCCUAACUCAUUCCUUCCCCGAUCUCCCCUGCUCGAAGUCGCGCCCUUCUCCCCUCUCUUCUUCCUGAUCUCUCCUCUGUGCUCUCUCUCGCGGACGAGCGAUGCCACGGGAUUAGGGUUCCAGCCCCGGCGAUCUUUCCUCGCCGGCAUCGACAUCUAUUGAGCUUCGAUCCAGUCGCGGACCUUCUCUCUCGCGGACGGUCCGACGACCUCUCGGUGGCUAGGGCACGGCGAGGAGCCGGAUAUUGCAUCCUCUUCAACCGGUAGACCUUCCCUUUCCCCUCUUCUGGUUUCCUUCAUCCCGGUUCUCUGCGAUCUUAUCCAAUUGUUCCUGCCGAGCCCUAGCUCUGUUUCAGUGUCGUUGCCGGCCUUGAAGGGAGGGGAGGUUCUGUGAAGGUGAUCUUGGAUCCCUUCUAUGUUGCUGUUGACUGAAGUCCCGGUUGGAGGUGAUGAGGUUGUGUACUGUUGGUGUUCUUGAUCUCACCUUGAACCCAAUUGAAUAGGGAAGGAUUUCAGGAGGAUUAUGUUCUGUGGAAACCAGUGAGGAUCUGAGAAGGUGAUCUUGGUUUCCACAACUUCAUUGGUUUCGGCAGAACCUACAAACCAGCAACAUCUCCUUCUGGCAUCAAUAUUACUUGGUGUUGUGGAUCAACAGGACAGUAGCUGGGAAUUGAGGUUGAGGCUGUCAGGAGAGAUUCCAGUCGCUAGCCCUUUUGUCUCGAGGAUUUCUAUAUAUCAGUUUCUGUAUUCGCUUUUAUACGUGUACUUGUGAUGUGGGUUUGUAUUGUGGACUUUAUAUCGAACAUUCGGGUUUGUUACUUUGUUUUC